ACGAACGCUGGCGGCGUGCCUAAUCCAUGCAAGUUGAGCGCUGAAGGUUGGUACUUGUACCGACUGGAUGAGCAGCGAACGGGUGAGUAACGCGUGGGGAAUCUGCCUUUGAGCGGGGGACAACAUUUGGAAACGAAUGCUAAUACCGCAUAAAAACUUUAAACACAAGUUUUAAGUUUGAAAGAUGCAAUUGCAUCACUCAAAGAUGAUCCCGCGUUGUAUUAGCUAGUUGGUGAGGUAAAGGCUCACCAAGGCGAUGAUACAUAGCCGACCUGAGAGGGUGGUCGGCCACAUUGGGACUGGGACACGGCCCAAACUCCUACGGGAGGCAGCAGUAGGGAAUCUUCGGCAAUGGACGAAAGUCUGACCGAGCAACGCCGCGUGAGUGAAGAAGGUUUUCGGAUCGUAAAACUCUGUUGGUAGAGAAGAACGUUGGUGAGAGUGGAAAGCUCAUCAAGUGACGGUAACUACCCAGAAAGGGACGGCUAACUACGUG
rnacentral:rRNA from 1 species